CCCUUAGAUGUUCUGGGCUGCACACGUGCUACACUGGCAGGUUCAGCGAGCUUCAUGCCCUGAUCUGAAAGGAAUGGGAAGUCUUUUCAAAACCUGCCGUGCUUGGGAUAGAUGUUUGCAAUUAUUCAUCUUCAACGAGGAUUGCCUUGUAAGCGCACGUCAUCAGCGUGCAUUGAAUACGACCCUGUAUUCUGUACACACCGCCCGUCGCUCCUACCGAUUGAAGUUUUCGGUGAGUUGACAGGAGGAUUUUUUUGAAACUGGUUCGCCAGUGGAUUUUAGAUCCAAAUGCCAACGAAUCGAUGGCUUUAGAGGAAGGAGAAGUCGUAACA
rnacentral:rRNA from 1 species